GGCUUAUGACUGUGAAUCUUUGAUGUCAUUUUAUGUGACGAAUCCUGGGAGUCCUCUGCCCCUGGGGUAGGAGCAGGGCUGGACCCCAAGUCCCUUCCUCGUCCAUGGACAUUACUCUUUUCCAAGAGUGACCUGGCUUCUCCUGGGACCUCUGUGAAUAUUUAUUCUAUUUAUGGUUCCUAAGAAGCUGUCUGGUGGAGGAAACCCCUAGCCGGGCAUUUCCUGCGAGUGCUGGAAUGGCUGCUCCUCCUCUGGUCUUGGCCCCGGAGGGGCGGGGGCUGGGAUUUUGAUAUCUUUUCUAAUAAAGGACUUUGUCUC
rnacentral:lncRNA from 1 species